rnacentral:rRNA from 1 species
CCUACGGGAGGCUGCAGUGAGGAAUAUUGGUCAAUGGGAGAGAUCCUGAACCAGCCAAGCCGCGUGAGGGAAGACGGCCCUAUGGGUUGUAAACCUCUUUUGUCGGAGAACAAAACCCGGGACGUGUCCCGUACUGCGUGUAUCCGAAGAAAAAGCAUCGGCUAACUCCGUGCCAGCAGCCGCGGUAAUACGGGGGAUGCGAGCGUUAUCCGGAUUUAUGGGGUUUAAGGGGUGCGUCGCCGGUCCGGUAAGUCAGCGGUAAAAUUUCGGGGCUCAACCCCGUCGAGCCGUUGAAACUGGCAGACUUGAGUUGGCGAGAAGUACGCGGAAUGCGCGGUGUAGCGGUGAAAUGCAUAGAUAUCGCGCAGAACUCCGAUUGCGAAGGCAGCGUACCGGCGCCAGACUGACGCUGAGGCACGAAAGCGUGGGGAUCGAACAGGAUUAGAUACCCUUGUAGUC